CAUGAGGCUUUUGAAAGCAGGUGCUAGUGACAUUUUAGAUGAGGAAACAGAUUCAGACUGUGAAGAGGAUUGUCUAAAUCCUCACAUCCCGUCAGCAUGAAAACACAAGCACAGAUCUUCUGACACCAAGACUCGUGCUUCUGUGACGUUUUGUAUCUCCCAGUUAAGAUUUUGACCUUGAGUUAUUCCAGGGCUUUGCAUGUAAUCUGAUCAUACAAACAAAACAACACAAAACAUCGAGCCAAAGAGGAGAAUUCAUUGAAAAGGAAGAGACCUGAGCCACAGAGGUACACAAGGCUCAAGGAAGAACUGAAAACAAAGACCUCUGUGCCUGGUGCUUUCGGGGAGAGUGGGGUAGUGGCCUGGAAAGAGUAUGCCGGCCAUGGAUGCAGAACCACGCUGGUGAGAUUCAGAACAGACAGCAACCUGCUCAGUCGCACACUGGAAAGUGACUGGGAUUCUGACAUAUUUGCUGCUGGCUCCCUAGCUGAAGCUCUUUCUAUUUUGGCACAGCGUCAUUCAGGCAAUUCUUUGCCAGCAUGAAAUAAACACAUUUUUCAUAAACCAGAGCAGGAUCAGGAGAGCAGGCAAGGUGAACCAGAGGCUUUAUUGCAUCCAGUUAUAAAAAAAAAAAAUUCAAGGUGAACACUGAAUGCAGAUCUUGUAGCAGAGACUAUAAGUAAAUGGAAAAGGAAAGAAUACCUCCAGACUCAUUUUACAAGGCCAGUGCAAUAUUUGAAUCAGACAAGGACCCUACAAGAAAAGACAUUUUUUUGGUCAACAAACUUGAUGAAUACAAACUCUCAAUAAAAUACUAGCAAGCCAAAUUCAUCAGCAAACCCAAAGGAUCAUCCACAUCAAUUAAGUGGGAUUUAUAUUUGGAAAGUGAGGAUGGUUAAACAAGCAUGGAUCUAUUAAUGGAAUACACCAUAUUAAUAAAAUGAAAGUCAACAAAAUCA